GCGGGAGUGGUGGAAUAGGCAGACACGCUAGGUUGAGGGCCUAGUGGGCGUUCUCGCCCUUGGGGGUUCAAGUCCCCCCUCCCGCACCA
rnacentral:tRNA from 1 species